rnacentral:tRNA from 1 species
AAGGUUUUAGCUUAAUUAAAGUGUCUGGGUUGCAUUCAGAAGAUGUGGGGUAGAGUCUCGCAGGUCUUA